rnacentral:rRNA from 1 species
AUUGAACGCUGGCGGCAGGCCUAACACAUGCAAGUCGAGCGAGCGGCGGACGGGUGAGUAAUGUCUGGGAAACUGCCUGAUGGAGGGGGAUAACUACUGGAAACGGUAGCUAAUACCGCAUACCAUCGGAUGUGCCCAGAUGGGAUUAGCUAGUAGGUGGGGUAAAGGCUCACCUAGGCGACGAUCCCUAGCUGGUCUGAGAGGAUGACCAGCAGAACUGGAACUGAGACACGGCCAAGAAUCUUACGGGAGGAAGCAGGGGGGAAUAUUGAACAAUGGGCGCAAGCCUGAUGCAGCCAUGGCGGGUGGAUGAAGAAGGCCUUCGAGUUGUAAAGUACUUGCAGCGGGGAGGCGUUACCCGCAUCAGAAUCACCGGCUAACUCCGUGCCAGCAGCCGCGGUAAUAC